AUUGAACGCUGGCGGCAGGCUUAACACAUGCAAGUCGAGCGGAGCGAGGGUGCUUGCACCUUAGCUUAGCGGCGGACGGGUGAGUAAUGCUUAGGAAUCCGCCUAUUAGUGGGGGACAACAUUCCGAAAGGGAUGCUAAUACCGCAUACGCCCUACGGGGGAAAGCAGGGGAUCUUCGGACCUUGCGCUAAUAGAUGAGCCUAAGUCGGAUUAGCUAGUUGGUGGGGUAAAGGCCUACCAAGGCGACGAUCUGUAGCGGGUCUGAGAGGAUGAUCCGCCGCACUGGGACUGAGACACGGCCCAGACUCCUACGGGAGGCAGCAGUGGGGAAUAUUGGACAAUGGGGGAAACCCUGAUCCAGCCAUGCCGCGUGUGUGAAGAAGGCCUUUUGGUUGUAAAGCACUUUAAGCGAGGAGGAGGCGCCCUAGGUUAAUACCCUAGAUGCGUGGACGUUACUCGCAGAAUAAGCACCGGCUAACUCUGUGCCAGCCGCCGCAGUAACAC
rnacentral:rRNA from 1 species